GAGGGUAUAGCUCAGUGGUAGAGUGCAUGCCUAGCAUGCACAAGGUCCUGGGUUCAAUCCCCAGUGCCCUCA
rnacentral:tRNA from 1 species